AGACUCUGAACUGGCUCCCUAUGAAAUGAGUCAUCGAGUUAGACAUGGCCUAGACAAAAGAAGAAUUAUGAAUACAAUAGAAAACAAUGGCCCUUGCCACAUCAGCAAUCUGCAGGAAUAUACUGUACCAUUGGGAAGAUGCUGAGAGGCUGACCAUCACACCCAGCUUCAUGUGGUGUGACUCUGACCUCUGGAGGGAAGACAAUCGAUCGAAGGACUCAUCAGGCUGUCAUGGAGGCACUUAUGUUACAGAACCAGCUGCCAGCAGAAGCUCUGGACAUCAAACCUUGGGUGACGUCCUCUAGCUGGCACUGUCCCUCACUGGUGCUGAGAAUCAACUACUGUUUAUAAAGCUCUGAGGGGAGAGGGGGUGGAGUUCGUGCCUAGUCCCUCCUG
rnacentral:lncRNA from 1 species